UACAGAGGGUGCAAGCAUUGUUCGGAAUUACUGGGCGUAAAGGGCGCGUAGGCGGUUUGGUAAGUCAGAUGUGAAAGCCCGGGGCUCAACCCCGGAAGUGCAUUGAAACUACCAGACUAGAGUGCAGUAGAGAAUGGCGGAAUUCCCAGUGGAGAGGUGAAAUUCGUAGAUAUUGGGAGGAACACCGGUGGCGAAGGCGGCCAUUUGGGCUGUAACUGACGCUGAGGCGCGAAAGCGUGGGUAGCAAACAGG
rnacentral:rRNA from 1 species